rnacentral:misc_RNA from 1 species
ACAAUUAUUAUUGAACUCUCCCUCUCUUUUCCGGGGGGUGGAGGUUCUCUAACACUUGUGUGCACUGUUUAUUGUCUCUUGGCGUUCGAGGGUUGGGUAAUAAUAACCCUUACCCCCUGAGCGUCAACUUUUAAACUUGAUUUUUAUUUAUACUAUAAGCCUUUAAUUUUAAAUUUUUUAAUUUGAAAA